UCUAUGCAAACAGCUGCAAGAUAGCUGAAAGACUUGAUCUAAAACCUCCAAGAAAGAAAGAUAGAUGAAAGUAUGGAGAUAAUGGAGAAAAAUUGUAAUGGCACUAAGAUUAGGACCUCUCCUAAAUUUAGUGGAAGGAAUGCCAGGGUUAGAAUCUUUCCUAGUCUUUUAGGGAUGUAGAGAAGGGAUCUAUGAAGGAGUAUGGUGGCGGC
rnacentral:lncRNA from 1 species